rnacentral:rRNA from 1 species
UACGGGGGGGGCAAGCGUUGUUCGGAAUUACUGGGCGUAAAGGGCUCGUAGGUGGCCAACUAAGUCAGACGUGAAAUCCCUCGGCUUAACCGGGGAACUGCGUCUGAUACUGGAUGGCUUGAGUUUGGGAGAGGGACGCGGAAUUCCAGGUGUAGCGGUGGAAUGCGCAGAUAUCAGGAGGAACACCGAUGGCGAAGGCAGAUCUCUGGGCCGUAACUGACGCUGAGGAGCGAAAGCGUGGGGAGCGAACAGG